GAUGAACGCUGACAGAAUGCUUAACACAUGCAAGUCCACUUGAAUUUGGGUUUUUUAACUUCGAUUUGGGUGGCGGACGGGUGAGUAACGCGUAAAGAACUUGCCUCACAGCUAGGGACAACAUUUGGAAACGAAUGCUAAUACCUGAUAUUAUGAUUAUAAGGCAUCUUAGACUUAUGAAAGCUAUAUGCGCUGUGAGAGAGCUUUGCGUCCCAUUAGCUAGUUGGAGAGGUAACGGCUCACCAAGGCGAUGAUGGGUAGCCGGCCUGAGAGGGUGAACGGCCACAAGGGGACUGAGACACGGCCCGUACGCCUACGGGAGGCAGCAGUGGGGAAUAUUGGACAAUGGACCAAGAGUCUGAUCCAGCAAUUCUGUGUGCACGAUGACGUUUUUCGGAAUGUAAAGUGCUUUCAGUUGGGAAGAAAAAAAUGACGGUACCAACAGAAGAAGUGACGGCUAAAUACGUG
rnacentral:rRNA from 1 species